CAAUCAGUGUUGCAGAGGUAAAAGAAAUAACCUGAGCAGGCAGGAACCUCAAGUGCUCUUGCUCUCCCUGGUAUUGUGUUUCAUAUCACCUGUUUUUCUUUAGUUCAAUUUUCUGUUAAGCAUUGCAUGCAACUGUCUACGAAGGAGAGGUAACGCCAUAAAGGAGUCAACUUUUUGUAUGUUUUGACUUAAAAGAUGUCAUUUUUUUUAUUUCUCAUAGAUUGUUGUUUCGUGGUUUGCUAACGAAACCAUAGGCACACGCAGUGAUGGGGAAGAAUGGUUCAGGGAAUAGCACAUUCUCUAAAAAAGAGGUAAAGAGUAAGAGAGCACAGAAGGAAGUUUGCAACUCGAGCUCGAGGAUGGGUGCGGUUUAUAGUUUGUUUGUGAGGGAAGAGGAGAUUCUGAUGGAGCAGAGGAAGAGGGAGUGUGGUGGUUGUGGGUUUGUGGCGAGGAAGGAGAGAGAUGAAGAUAUUGAGCUCGUUGUGCCUCUUGUUUUCAGCUUAUGUACAAAGGUAUUAUGUUUCAUCACUUCAUGUCAUGAUCAUCUUAUUGCUAUGUCUAGGGAUCUUAUAGUUCUUUAGUUGAGCAGCUUUCAUGAAA